rnacentral:miRNA from 4 species
UGAGAUCAUCGUGAAAGCCAGU